rnacentral:lncRNA from 1 species
UUGCGGUGCCAUCGCGGUUUUUGCAAAGGAGAUUAACUUGUAAUAUCAAGUCGUCGGGAAAGAAAUUUCCCCCGAAGUGGGGUCUGCUAGGUGCUUCACCGGCUUUUCCUACACAGCAGUAUACUUACUAUUCAUAAAACUUUCAGAAGCGCUUCAUUCACCAGCGAGCACAUACAGAGAGAUUACUGAUAUGAACUGCUUGCCAGCGUAUGUGCUUAUAGUAGCCCUCUGCGCUAUGAGCUCCAAUUCGCGGACUGCGGAUAAAGUAGUAAAAGCUGCAGUGGAAGAACGAAUCUUGUAUUCUACGAGAAGUUGCUAUAAAGAGACGUGCUCUCGGGGCAGCUGCCCCACCAAUGGGUGCAGAUGUCCAGGACCGUUAUCACUUCUCUUUGGAAGAAGGAACUGUUACUGAGAUGGAUACCUGCUUUGCCCCUAUUUCAUGAUCAAUUGAAGAAAAUAAAUAUUUUGGCA